rnacentral:rRNA from 1 species
UACAGAGGUCCCAAGCGUUGUUCGGAUUCACUGGGCGUAAAGGGUGCGUAGGCGGUCGGGUAAGUCUGAUGUGAAAUCUCACAGCUUAACUGUGAAACUGCAUUGGAUACUAUCCGGCUCGAGGAAUGGAGGGGAGACUGGAAUACUUGGUGUAGCAGUGAAAUGCGUAGAUAUCAAGUGGAACACCAGUGGCGAAGGCGAGUCUCUGGACAUUUUCCUGACGCUGAGGCACGAAAGCCAGAGGAGCAAACGGG